rnacentral:rRNA from 1 species
UACGUAGGGUGCAAGCGUUGUCCGGAAUUACUGGGCGUAAAGGGCGCGUAGGCGGUCUGUUAAGUUCGGUGUGAAAGCCCCCGGCUCACCUGGGGAACUGCGCCGGAAACCGACAGACUCGAGUACCGGAGAGGAGGGUGGAAUUCCUGGUGUAGCGGUGAAAUGCGUAGAUAUCAGGAGGAACACCGGUGGCGAAGGCGGCCCUCUGGACGGAUACUGACGCUGGAGGCGCGAAAGCGUGGGGAGCAAACAGG